GGUGAUGUGUGAGGAACCGAUUGAAAUUCUGUGUCUGUGUGUGUGUGUGUGUGUGUGUGUGUGUGUGUGUGUAUACACGUGCAUGCAAACAGGAAGGAGAGUUGUAAUUAGGGCUGAAGAAGCAGGAAAUGAUAAGCAUUUCCACUUUGGCCUUCCACCAGAGUAGACCACCGCCAUAACUGUACUGCAAUUUAUACUAGGGCAAGAUCCUUUCAGGAUCCACACAGCACGUGCUCAAGCAACAUUUACUGAAUGAAUGAAUGAAAGUGUUAUGAAAUGGAGAGGAACCAGAAUUCCAUGCCGGGUCCCUUUUGAGUUCUUUUUCUUCUGGACAAUGCUGUCUUGUACAAAGCUGAGACUAGCCAAGGCUGGCCUUGAACUCAGGGAACCUCCUGUCUCAGUCUUCUGGGUGCUGGAAUUUCAGGCAUGUGCUACCACACCCGGCUAGGAAUCUGAGCCUGACUCAGCCUCUGUCUCCACAUCUGAAGAACACGAGUCCCUGCUUGCUCACCCAGUAACAAUGAUCACUGGCAAUGUAGAGCCAGGGGUCAUGGAACUUGGGGUGCACAGACCAUAGAUGGGAGCACCCCACUCCUGCUUCCUGGAAGGUACACCUUCCAGGUGGACCUGGACUGCUUCCUCCUCUGGGGUUCACCGGUUUUCCCAGCCUCUCUCAGCCCUGCCCUCCAAAGGUCUCAUUUUAUAGCCCUUUGAGGAAUUCACAUGACGCUACAAUCUUCCCUAAUCAAAAGCACCAGUUAUAAAAUUCGCCUUGACUCGCUGCUCUGUGGUUAAAUAUUGAUGAUAAUUAGGAAAUAGAGGCACAGGGUGGGCACUCGACAACGAUGGUGACUUCAGAUCCUGGAGGUCAGGCAGAGCUGCUCUGCCACCAAAGGCCACCCACUAAAGAGGUCAGUCACCUGCAGUGGCAGAGAGGGUGGCAGGCCGGGGUGAGAUGCCAAGGGCAGAGCUACUACUCUGUGGGCUCAGCUGCACUUUCCUGGGGAGAGCUUGGGAACAAAGACCGUCAUCUUGUGCUCCGGUGAGGACCAGAAAGAAGGCAACAGAAAUCAGCAAAGAGAACAACAGAAAUCAACACUGUAUCCAAGAGCAGCUUGAGAAGGCCCAGAGUGCAGCAUCAGGUCAUCAACGAGUCGGAGCGUUCCUUCAUAUGCUUACCCAUCGAAUGACUUGAUUUGGCUGAAACCCAGGUGGGGUCUCCAGACCCCAGUCAAAUGGCACAUUUGCCACACCUCGGGCCUGAGCUGUACUGUACCCCCUACCCCACCCCACCCCCUGGUAUGGGCAGUGGCCACUCACCGGGUCACCCAGUCAUCUGAUUGUACUGAGCAAGCUCCUACUGUGUGUUGUUCCAGCACUUGAUGGUUACAACAGUGGGAAAAAUACAAACAUCAUCUCCUUGAGGGGUGCUGUUCUGGUGGGACAGAAAAUAAAGUAAAUGAUGAACAUGCACA